rnacentral:rRNA from 1 species
GAUGAACGCUGGCGGCGUGCCUAAUACAUGCAAGUCGAGCGAACAGACGAGGAUCUUGCUCCUCUGACGUUAGCGGCGGACGGGUGAGUAACACGUGGAUAACCUACCUAUAGGACUGGGAUAACUUCGGGAAACCGGAGCUAAUACCGGAUAAUAUAUUAAACCGCAUGGUUCAAUAGUGACAGGCGGUUUUGCUGUCAACUAUAGAUGGAUCCGCGCCGCAUUAGAUAGUUGGUAAGGUAACGGCUUACCAAGGCAACGAUGGGUAGCCGCCCUGAGCGGGUGAACGGCCACACGAGAACUGAGACACGGUCCAGACACUGACGGGAGGCAGCGGUAGGGAAUCCUCCGGGAGGGGGGAAAGCCUGACGGAGCAACGCGGCGUGAGGGAUGAAGGUCUUCGGAUCGGAAAACUCUGUUAUUAGGGAAGAACAAAUGUGUAAGUAACUAUGCACGUCUUGACGGUACCUAAUCAGAAAGCAACGGCUAACUACGUG